rnacentral:sRNA from 1 species
CCACAGCAGGCAGGCACUCAUGCAGAUGGGUCUGGCUGCUUUCCUGCACGGCCACUGUGACUGCUUGGCCACUUGGGACUCAGGACACUGGACUCGGAUUUUCAUCUCCCAGAGGGUGGCCGUGACUGGGGAGAGCACAACCAGCGGCUAGAGGAGCACCAGGCACGCGCCUGGCAGGGUGCCAUGGAUGCAGGCACAGCUAGCCGGGAGCACGCCAGGUGGCAAGGUGGCGAGAGGGGCCUGUCUGGGCCCUCGGGGCCGGGGCACAUGGCAAGCCGCGGUGGAGUGGCGGGGCGAGGCGGCUUUGCACAAGGUGGACAUUCCCAGGGCCACGUGGUGCCAGGUGGCGGACUGGAAGGUGGCGGAGUGGCCAGCCAGGACCGGGGCAGCAGAGUCCCUCACCCACACCCUCAUCCCCCCCCAUACCCCCACUUCACCCGCCGCUACUAAGUCCCACUCACUGCGAGUUUUCGGGUGGGCAGACGCACUGUUGAAUCUGGUAGCCAGGGUUCCCUCGAACUUGGGGGAUCUUUUUAAAAGCAAAGUAAAUCCUGCCACCGUGUUGUAGCUCAAUACAAUGUGA